AUGUGGGAGGAAUGCUUGCCUCAUAUUGAAUUUGCUUAUAAUCGUUCAUUGCAUUCUACUACUAAGAUGUGCCCUUUUGAAGUUGUGUAUGGUUUCCUACCUCGUGCACCUAUUGAUUUGUUGCCUCUUCCAUCUUCGGAGAAGGUUAAUUUUGAUGCUAAACAACAUGCUGAAUUGAUUUUAAAAAUGCAUGAGUUAACUAAGGAAAACAUUGAGCGUAUGAAUGCUAAAUAUAAACUUGCUGGAGAUAAGGGUAGAAAACAUGUUGUGUUUGCACCUGGAGAUCUUGUUUGGUUACAUUUGCGUAAGGAUAGAUUUCCUGAUUUGCGCAAAUCAAAGCUAAUGCCACGUGCUGAUGGUCCCUUUAAGGUGUUAGAGAAAAUAAAUGAUGAUGCAUAUAAACUUGAGCUGCCUGCAGAUUUUGGGGUUAGUCCCACUUUUAACAUUGCAGAUUUGAAGCCUUAUUUGGGUGAGGAAGAUGAACUUCCGUCGAGGACGACUUCAUUUCAAGAAGGGGAGGAUGAUGAGGACAUCAAUACCAUUGUUACACCCACAGGCCCUGCUGCUAUACAUACUGGACCAAUUACUAGAGCUCGCGCACGCCAACUAAAUUACCAGGAAACAGACCCUCGUGGUCAGGUUGAUCGUGCUCCGGCGUGGUCAAUAACCUCUCGGAGUUGGUUUAGCGAUUGCUAA
rnacentral:rRNA from 1 species